UACGGGGGGGGCAAGCGUUGGUCGGAAUUACUGGGCGUAAAGGGCUCGUAGGCGGCCAACUAAGUCGGACGUGAAAUCCCCAGGCUCAACCUGGGAACUGCGUCUGAUACUGGAUGGCUUGAAUCCGGGAGAGGGAUGCAGAAUUCCAGGUGUAGCGGUGAAAUGCGUAGAGAUCAUGAGGAAGACCAGUGGCGAAGGCGGGUCUCUGGACAGUUCCUGACACUGAGGCACGAAGGCCAGGGGAGCAAACGGG
rnacentral:rRNA from 1 species